UGCUAAGGUAGGCNAAUCACUUGCCCUUUAAUUGGGGGCUAGUAUGAAUGGCCAGACAAGGGCUUUACUGUCUCAAAAGACGUAAUGAAAAUUGACCUUUAGGUGCAGAGGCCUAAAUUCUAGUGAAAGACAAGAAGACCCUAUCGAGCUUUAAUUUUACUCAUUUCUCUAAAUGAAAUAAAUUUUUAUUGGGGCAAUAAAGGCGUAAACAAAGCCGCCUUUAAUAAUUAGUUAUAUAAAAUUAUAAGAGAAACAUUUUUAGUGCGCACAAGCAUAAGCUACCGUAGGGAUAACAGACUAAUUUUCCUCGAGAGUCCACAUUGACAGGAAAGUUUGGCACCUCGAUGUUGGCUUAAAAAACAGUUAUGAAGCAGACCUCUAACCCC
rnacentral:rRNA from 1 species